AACGAACGCUGGCGGCAGGCCUAACACAUGCCAGUCGAGCGCGCCCUUCGGGGUGAGCGGCGGACGGGUGAGUAACGCGUGGGAACGUGCCCUUCUCUGCGGAAUAGCCUCGGGAAACUGAGAGUAAUACCGCAUACGCCCUUUGGGGGAAAGAUUUAUCGGAGAAGGAUCGGCCCGCGUUGGAUUAGGUAGUUGGUGGGGUAAUGGCCCACCAAGCCGACGAUCCAUAGCUGGUUUGAGAGGAUGAUCAGCCACACUGGGACUGAGACACGGCCCAGACUCCUACGGGAGGCAGCAGUGGGGAAUCUUAGACAAUGGGGGCAACCCUGAUCGAGCCAUGCCGCGUGAGUGAUGAAGGCCUUAGGGUUGUAAAGCUCUUUCAGCUGGGAAGAUAAUGACGGUACCAGCAGAAGAAGCCCCGGCUAACUCCGUG
rnacentral:rRNA from 1 species